CCUACGGGAGGCAGCAGUGAGGAAUAUUGGUCAAUGGGCGCGAGCCUGAACCAGCCAAGUCGCGUGAAGGAUGACUGCCCUACGGGUUGUAAACUUCUUUUAUAAAAGAAUAAAGUGAGGCACGUGUGCCUUUUUGUAUGUACUUUAUGAAUAAGGAUCGGCUAACUCCGUGCCAGCAGCCGCGGUAAUACGGAGGAUCCGAGCGUUAUCGGGAUUUAUUGGGUUUAAAGGGAGCGUAGAUGGGUUGUUAAGUCAGUUGUGAAAUUUUGCGGCUCAACCGUAAAAUUGCAAUUGAUACUGGCAGCCGUGAGUGCAGUUGAGGUAGGCGGAAUGCGUGGUGUAGCGGUGAAAUGCUUAGAGAUCACGAAGAACUCCGAUUGCGAAGGCAGCUUACUAAACUGCCACUGACAUUGAGGCACGAAAGUGUGGGUAUCAAACAGGAUUAGAUACCCGAGUAGUC
rnacentral:rRNA from 1 species